GCCUGGGUGGCUCAGUUGGUUGAGCGUCCGACUUUGGCUCAGGUCACGAUCUCACGAUUCGUGGGUUUGAGCCCCACGUCGGGCU
rnacentral:tRNA from 1 species